UACGAAGGGGGCUAGCGUUGUUCGGAAUUACUGGGCGUAAAGCGCACGUAGGCGGAUACUUAAGUCAGGGGUGAAAUCCCGGGGCUCAACCCCGGAACUGCCUUUGAUACUGGGUAUCUCGAGUCCGGAAGAGGUGAGUGGAAUUCCGAGUGUAGAGGUGAAAUUCGCAGAUAUUCGGAGGAACACCAGUGGCGAAGGCGGCUCACUGGUCCGGUACUGACGCUGAGGUGCGAAAGCGUGGGGAGCAAACAGG
rnacentral:rRNA from 1 species